ACGCCGUAAACGAUGUCGACUAGCCGUUGGGGUCCUUGAGACCUUUGUGGCGCACCUUCACGCGAUAAGUCGACCGCCUGGGGAGUACGGCCGCAAGGUUAAAACUCAAAUGAAUUGACGGGGGCCCGCACAAGCGGUGGAGCAUGUGGUUUAAUUCGAUGCAACGCGAAGAACCUUACCUACCCUUGACAUCGAGAGAACUUGGCAGAGAUGCCUUGGUGCCUUCGGGAACUCUCAGACAGGUGCUGCAUGGCCGUCGUCAGCUCGUGUUGUGAAAUGUUGGGUUAAGUCCCGUAACGAGCGCAACCCUUGUCCCUAUUUGCCAGCGAUUCGGUCGGGAACUCUAGGGAGACUGCCGGUGACAAACCGGAGGAAGGUGGGGACGACGUCAGGUCAUCAUGGCCCUUACGGGUAGGGCUACACACGUGCUACAAUGGCCGGUACAAAGGGUUGCGAAGCCGCGAGGUGGAGCCAAUCCCGAAAAGCCGGUCUCAGUCCGGAUCGGAGUGCUGCAACUCGACUCCGUGAAGUCGGAAUCGCUAGUAAUCGUGAAUCAGAAUGCUCGAUUGGCC
rnacentral:rRNA from 1 species